UGCUUAUAAUCCUCUUCAUAACACUUCAUGACUGACAGCUGUCUGUACUUCACAGCGACAGACACCAACACAGCUAUGGCGUCUAUCAGCAUCUUCAUUGUGGUCUUUGCCUUUUUCACUCAAGAAUCCAGUGGUCAGGUCACUGUGACUCAGACUCCUGCAGUAAAGGCUGUUCUCCAUGGACAGACUGUCACUAUGAGCUGUAAAGUCAGUUCGGCUGUGUAUGGCAAUGAUUAUUUAGCCUGGUAUCUACAGAAACCUGGAGAAGCUCCUAAACUUUUAAUCUACAGAGCAACAGAACUUUACUCAGGGAUUCCGUCUAGAUUCACUGGCAGCGGAUUUGCUACUGACUUCACUCUGACCAUCAGUGGAGUCCAGGCUGAAGAUGCAGGAGAUUAUUACUGUCAGAGUCACCAUAAUGGCGGUCCGUGGACUUUCGGCGGCGGGACCAGACUGGAUGUUGGCAGUAACAGAGCCCCCACCCUGACGGUCCUGCCCCCCUCCAGUGUGGAGGUGUCCAGCAAGAACACGGCCACCCUGAUGUGCCUGGCCAACAGGGGCUUCCCCUCCGACUGGAAGCUAAGCUGGAAGGUGGACGGUAGCAGCAAAGUGGUGGAGACGAGCCGCGGGCUCCUGGAGAAGGAUGGCCUGUACAGCUGGAGCAGCAGCCUGAGCCUCACUGCGGACGAGUGGAAGAAGGCGGGCUCAGUGGUCUGUGAGGCCAAUCAGGGCUCCCAGGCUCCUGUCACUCAGACGCUGACGAGGGCCGACUGUUCAGAGUAAAUGAGCUCAGCGUCACCUGUGAUGAGCGGCUGAUUACUGUGUUUUUACCGUGUUGUGCUACACGCUUCUGAUUUAGUGAUGAUAUAGAAAAAAUAAUGUGCUUUGUAUGAUCCAUGACUGAAUGUCUUUACUAAUGUUUUAUGGGCUUUUGUGCCACAUUAUAUUAUCUUGUGUAUCUUAUUCCUGAAAGCUGCAGAGCUAAAUAAAUAUUUCAUUCUGUCUGACAAA